CGGGUGAGUAACGCGUAGGUAACCUGCCCUUUUGUGGGGGAUAACCAGAAGAAAUUCUGGCUAAUACCGCAUAAGUAGUACGACAUGGGAAAAGUACUAGAAAGGAUGCCUCUACUUGUAAGCAUUCACAGAAGGAUGGGCCUGCGUUGCAUUAGCUUGUUGGUGGGGUAAUGGCCUACCAAGGCAACGAUGCAUAGCUGGUCUGAGAGGAUGAUCAGUCACACUGGAACUGAGACACGGUCCAGACUCC
rnacentral:rRNA from 1 species